UUUUUUAUCCAAUCAAUUCCAACACCGAUACCUGCGCCGCCAACUGCACCACCCACACCACUCUUUUUACCCUCUUCAGCCGUAUUCGUGUUUGGCUUUAGCAUUCUUUUCUAGAGACUGUGUCCACAAGAAGAUUUGGCCGUUACAGUCGUUCGGCAUUUAUUGCGAGGAAAGAUGUUAAUAUCCUCGCAAACUUAGCACACCCUGUCCGAGCUCGACUAACCAACCCGGAACUGAUGAUUUUGGCCCCGUACUCAAUCGUGAGUGCAGUCUUCUCAGGGGUGGAAACCUUGGGAGUCGAAACCCAAAGGAGUAUAAGUGCCCCGGACUCAUCUGAUGUUGAUGAUGAGCCACUCCCUCCCGCCCAAUAUGGCACAAAACCUGAAGAAUUUGUCAAUUGUGAUAUGUUUUUUUUUCAGAUUCCAGCCAAUCAAAACCAUUUUGGACAUUCGGUUGAAAUGCCAUCUUGUCAAUUGAAUUUACGGCGAAGUGUUUUGGAUUUGCGAAAGAUAAAUCUGAAUGAAGUAAAGAUGAGUUCAAAUCGUUGCUUGACUUGAACGCCUUUAAUAAACUGAUUUCAAACGAAUUCUAUACUCAUUUUAUAUGAAAAAAAUCGUUAGUUUUUUGUGCAAAUAAAAUUCAACAACUGCAGUUCUUUAUACAUAGUUUCUGUUGAUCUCGGUUGCUACGUCACUUGUAAUCGUGAGAUUGAAAAGAUCAAUCGGUCAG